AUGAACGCUGGCGGCGUGCCUAAUACGUGCAAGUCGAGCGAACGGACGAGAAGCUUGCUUCUCUGAUGUUAGCGGCGGACGGGUGAGUAACACGUGGAUAACCUACCUAUAAGACUGGGAUAACUUCGGGAAACCGGAGCUAAUACCGGAUGAUAUUUUGAACCGCAUGGUUCAAAAGUGAAAGACGGUCUUGCUGUCACUUAUAGAUGGAUCCGCGCUGCAUUAGCUAGUUGGUAAGGUAACGGCUUACCAAGGCAACGAUGCAUAGCCGACCUGAGAGGGUGAUCGGCCACACUGGAACUGAGACACGGUCCAGACUCCUACGGGAGGCAGCAGUAGGGAAUCUUCCGCAAUGGGCGAAAGCCUGACGGAGCAACGCCGCGUGAGUGAUGAAGGUCUUCGGAUCGUAAAACUCUGUUAUUAGGGAAGAACAUAUGUGUAAGUAACUGUGCACAUCUUGACGGUACCUAAUCAGAAAGCCACGGCUAACUACGUG
rnacentral:rRNA from 1 species